CGGGGGGCAGCAGUGAGGAAUUUUGCGCAAUGGGGGAAACCCUGACGCAGCAACGCCGCGUGAGUGAAGAAGGUUUUCGGAUCGUAAAGCUCUGUCAAGUGGGAAAAAAUCCCUUUCGUGAAUAGCGGAAGGGUUUGAUGGUACCACUAGAGGAAGCACCGGCUAACUCCGUGCCAGCAGCCGCGGUAAUACGGAGGGUGCAAGCGUUGUUCGGAAUUAUUGGGCGUAAAGGGCGUGUAGGCGGUUUGGUAAGUCAGAUGUGAAAGCCCUGGGCUCAACCCAGGAAGUGCAUUUGAAACUGCCAUACUUGAGUAUGGGAGAGGAGAGUGGAAUUCCCAGUGUAGAGGUGAAAUUCGUAGAUAUUGGGAGGAACACCCGUGGCGAAGGCGACUCUCUGGACCAAUACUGACGCUGAGACGCGAAAGCGUGGGGAGCAAACAGGAUUAGAUACCCCGGUAGUC
rnacentral:rRNA from 1 species